AAGUCGUAACAAGGUUUCCGUAGGUGAACCUGCGGAAGGAUCAUUAACACGUAUCCAACGUUAAACCCCCCGUGAACCUUCAUUGUGCUCCCCCAUUCCGUUAGGACGCGGCAAUCCCUGGUAAAUCAUCGCCGAACAGUUUUGAUUCAGGGACCUCUGCAUGGAGUGGGCAGCAGCGCGAGGCAAGUGGCCUGGCAUUCGAAAGAAUGGCGCAGUAACGAUCGCUAGAGGCCGACACGGCCGGCUGGGCUCACGCCCCCCUAUCACCUUUGCAUGAAAACGGGCCUGCGCUUAAUUGUGCGGCCACCAAACUCGAACAACUGUUAACAAUGGAUAUCUUGGUUCUC
rnacentral:misc_RNA from 1 species